CGUAGUUGAAACUGACGUGUCUCUUAUUCUUCUUGUGUAUUGGUGAUGAUCUCAUGUUCUUCUUCAUCUUCUUAAUCUCGGCUUUGAUUCUCCAUAAAAUGCUCUUUAUCAGCUUCUUCUUCUUCUUCCCUAGCUCCAUUACCAUUAUGCAUCCCAUUGCUUUUUUGGUCGAAAGUUAGAAUUGAGAGAGAUAGAGAGCAAAGGACUAGAGAGUGAAUAAAGUCAAAAUGUGGUUAUGCAAUAAAACUAAGGAGAAGGAAGAAGACUACUUAUAAAAAGAAAGCAGUAUCUCUGUCUUUGUUGUUAGAGCUGUACCAAGAGGAGAAGUGAUGUUGACCUCUCACUUUUAUAUUUUUUUAUAUCAGUUAUGAUUAUCCAUAUACACGUGU